UAGUGAGUUUGAUCCUGGCUCAGGAUGAACGCUGGCGGUAUGCUUAACACAUGCAAGUCGAACGGGCUCUUCGGAGAUAGUGGCGGACGGGUGAGUAACGCGUGAGAAACUGCCCCUUGGACCGGGACAACAGCUGGAAACGGCUGCUAACACCGGAUGUGCUGAAAGGUGAAAUAUUUAUAGCCAGGGGGAUGUGCUCGCGUCCGAUUAGCUAGUUGGUAGUGUAAUGGACUACCAAGGCGACGAUCGGUAGCUGGUCUGAGAGGAUGAUCAGCCACACUGGGACUGAGACACGG
rnacentral:rRNA from 1 species